GUGUUAUUUUAGCUCCGCUAUUUCGACACUUGAUUUCUAAGAUUGAAGCUUAAUUUUAGCCAAAAAUGAGUCUUCUGCAUGGUGUAUCAUUCAACAACAAAGGCAAGUUGAUUUGGACAAAAUCCUUACAAGAUUUACAGAAGUUUGUAGAAGAAAUAUUGAAUUUAGCUGAUGGCGGUUGGUGCUGCCCCGGAGGAGGUGCUAAACAGUUUAAAUCCGAAGAUAUUGAUCUUCGAUGGUACCCCGAUACACAAACAAUCACUUUAAACGGUAAACUAAAAGAUGAAGUCGGAGAGAUAUUCAAUUCUGCUGCCGUAAUAUCGGGGAAGCUGGCAAAUAAAAGUGGAAAAGAAGCAUCGAAGCGGGGCGGCCAUAUUGAAGAGACGUAUGUUGCUUCGACUUUGAAUAUUAAUGACUCGAGAGACGUAGAUAAUGAUGUUAACCGGCCAUUUGUUAAUGAAUUCAAUGCGAAGAAGCUAUUCCUAAUGUUAUCGAAAAAAUUCCAGCAAAUAGCCGUUCCAUACAAGAUGACCAAAUGUUGUCCCUUGAGGCCCUUCAAAGCCAAAUACAAGCUCUUACCAAAGAAGUAAACGGAAAUACGGCUGCUCUAGAAAACAUAAGGGAACCAAAAAUGGACUCCAAUCCAUUGUUAGUUCAAGAAUCAAAAAACGAAGUUGAUUGCCUAAAAGAAAAAAUUUAUAAACUGAUGGACGAGAACAAACUUUUGAAAAACGAAAAUAAUGAAAACAUCGAAAGAAUCAACAACCUAUCAUUUAUACUAGCUGACUUGCAACAAAAGACAAAAAACGCAGAACAAGAAAGGGACAGCGUAAUUACUGCCAUGCGUCUGCUAAUUGCUGAAACCAAUAGCGUAGUAGAAAACAAUGUUAUUGAACAAAAGCUGUGCAAUGAAGUGGAUGAGUGCACCCAGUCAAAAGAUAUUAUAAACCCGAAUAUUAAAUUAAAGAACAAAUAUUCGGUACUGGAAAACGAGCAAGUAGACGGCGGCGAAUCAAGCGCAAUAUCAAAGCAGAAAACUGAGGAAGAUCAAGUACAACAAAAAAAGAAAAGGAAAUCCAAGUCAAAGAAAAAGACAACCAAAGAUGACGCAUCACGUAAGCCGCAGGAAGUAGAACAGGCAAAAGCUGAACAACAAGAACAACAGCCUCAACAACAGAAAAGGAAAACUGUUGUUGUAGCAGGAGAUUCUAUAAUAAAAUACGUGAAGGGGUGGGAACUAUCUAAUACCGAGCAAAAUGUCGCAGUAAAGUCCUUUUCAGGCGCCACCGUGGAGGAUAUGAACGACUUUCUCAGGCCAACAGCUCGAAGGCAACCUGAUAAACUGGUCAUACGCGUGGGCACAAAUAAUAUACGAAGUUCGACGCCGCAGAAUGUUGCUGACAAAGUUACUAAAGUGGCACACCAGUUCAAACAGGAAUCGAAGAAAACAAGAAUAAUUAUUUCAUCCUUGAUCAUUAGAAAGGAUAAUCCCGAAUUUGCAAGUAAGGUAAAAGAGACCAAUGUUGCUUUGAAACUGAAAUGUGAAGAAAACAAUUGGUCGUUUAUAGAUAAUAGUAAUAUAAACAGCUUACAUUUAAAUCACAGGGGCUUACACCUAACUCAUGAAGGGAGUGCCCUACUACAAGCCAAUAUAGGAAAUAUAUUAAAAUGAUAUGAUAAGAGGCCGAGGGGAAAAGAUAAUGAGACAAAUUGGUCAGAUAUUCCUAAAUUAAGAGGUUUUAGAAUGGCUAUGCUCAAUAUAGCUAGCCUUCCGAAACACCUUGACGAAAUUCGCCUGCUAUUGCAUGAUAAAAAAUUGGAUGUCUUGGCACUAAAUGAAACUCGCCUUGACUCCUCUAUUUCGGACGACCUUAUGAGUAUCGAGGGUUAUACGAUAUACUGCGCUCUGAUCGAAAACGAAAUGGAGGGGGAGUAUGUAUAUACAUUAGGUGUCAUGUAAACUAUGAAAACCGUCCAGAUUUAAUUCCAAACGAUCUAGAAGCCGUUUGUUUGGAAAUAAAACAA